UGGUGGUUUAUUAUAAUUUUUCUUAACCUAUUCUUUCUCCACAUAUAUACAUAUAGACAUAUAUGUAUGCGUCACGUGAGAUGGGGGGCAUUAACCAAGAAAUAUCUCACAUAAGCACGUGCAUGGGCAAGUUAAGAUUAGUGUGAUUAGUGGAAUCAUUACAUGGAUCAAUGAUUGAUUAGUUAUAUAAACCUUGAAAAAGUCGACGUUAAUUACUU
rnacentral:lncRNA from 1 species